GAAACCUCUCCUGCAGCAUCUGCUCAGCACCGCGCUUCUGCCUCCAGAUAACGGCGUCACGGGGCUGCGCUGGGGAGGAAAAUAAAAGCCACACAGGUAGAACACGGAGCGUACCUCGCUAGCCAAAAACUGCCGAGAGCAUUACCUCCACGGGUACCCAAGGAGACUGAGAGCCGUAUUUGCACUCUGAAGGGUUCGUGAUGCAGCUGCUGCCAAGGCAGUGACUCAGGAGGAGGACAGAGCCCCGUGUGCCCCAUCACAGUGCCUCCAAUCUGCAGCUUCCGCUGCGAGCACACGGAGCAAAGCCUUUUGUGUCGCACUUAUCGUCAGCUCUGCAAGCAGGAAAGAAGUCAAAGCAGUUUGCUGUGAAUUGCUGGCUUCAGCAGUUGCACUUCCGUGCUGUCUCUCUCCUUCACAAGUAAAGUGAAGAAAUCCAUGUG